GUCGAGCGGACAGAAGGGAGCUUGCUCCCGGAAGUCAGCGGCGGACGGGUGAGUAACACGUAGGUAACCUGCCCCUUAGACUGGGAUAACUCCGGGAAACCGGAGCUAAUACGGGAUAAUAAAGAGAAUCACCUGAUUCUCUUUUGAAAGACGGUUUCGGCUGUCACUAAGGGAUGGGCCUGCGGCGCAUUAGCUAGUUGGUAAGGUAACGGCUUACCAAGGCGACGAUGCGUAGCCGACCUGAGAGGGUGAUCGGCCACACUGGGACUGAGACACGGCCCAGACUCCUACGGGAGGCAGCAGUAGGGAAUCUUCCGCAAUGGACGAAAGUCUGACGGAGCAACGCCGCGUGAGUGAGGAAGGCCUUCGGGUCGUAAAGCUCUGUUGUGAGGGAAGAACAAGUACCGGCGUAACUACCGGUACCUUGACGGUACCUCACCAGAAAGCCACGGCUAACUACGUGCCAGCAGCCGCGGUAAUACGUAGGUGGCAAGCGUUGUCCGGAAUUAUUGGGCGUAAAGCGCGCGCAGGCGGCUUCUUAAGUCUGAUGUGAAAUCUCGGGGCUCAACCCCGAGCGGCCAUUGGAAACUGGGAAGCUUGAGUGCAGAAGAGGAGAGUGGAAUUCCACGUGUAGCGGUGAAAUGCGUAGAUAUGUGGAGGAACACCAGUGGCGAAGGCGACUCUCUGGUCUGUAACUGACGCUGAGGCGCGAAAGCGUGGGGAGCAAACAGGAUUAGAUACCCUGGUAGUCCACGCCGUAAACGAUGAGUGCUAGGUGUUAGGGGUUUCGAUGCCCGUAGUGCCGAAGUAAACACAUUAA
rnacentral:rRNA from 2 species